rnacentral:rRNA from 1 species
AGUGAACGCUGGCGGUAGGCCUAACACAUGCAAGUCGAACGGCAGCACAGUAAGAGCUUGCUCUUACGGGUGGCGAGUGGCGGACGGGUGAGGAAUACAUCGGAAUCUACUUUUUCGUGGGGGAUAACGUAGGGAAACUUACGCUAAUACCGCAUACGACCUACGGGUGAAAGCAGGGGAUCUUCGGACCUUGCGCGAUUGAAUGAGCCGAUGUCGGAUUAGCUAGUUGGCGGGGUAAAGGCCCACCAAGGCGACGAUCCGUAGCUGGUCUGAGAGGAUGAUCAGCCACACUGGAACUGAGACACGGUCCAGACUCCUACGGGAGGCAGCAGUGGGGAAUAUUGGACAAUGGGCGCAAGCCUGAUCCAGCCAUACCGCGUGGGUGAAGAAGGCCUUCGGGUUGUAAAGCCCUUUUGUUGGGAAAGAAAAGCAGCAGGUUAAUACCCCGCUGUUCUGACGGUACCCAAAGAAUUAAGCACCGGCUAACUUCGUG